ensembl:lncRNA
AAAAACACAAUGUUGAUGCAAAACAGAAGCACCUGGUAAAUAAAAGGGUAAACGUAGCCAAAUGAAGGACUCCGCAUGCUAGUGUUACAAAAUGAGCAAAUAAGAGAAGUGCACAACAACCAAACAGGAAAAAAAUAUCAAUCUACAUACCUUGGCCAACCGCUCACAGGCCGACCGCUCACAGGCCGACCGCUCACCACAGGCCGACCGCUCACCACAGGCCGACCGCUCACCACAGGCCGACCGCUCACAGGCCGACCGCUCACAGGCCGACCGCUCACCACAGGCCGACCGCUCACCACAGGCCGACCGCUCACCACAGGCCGACCGCUCACAGGCCGACCGCUCACAGGCCGACCGCUCACCACAGGCCGACCGCUCACCACAGGCCGACCGCUCACCACAGGCCGACCGCUGACACAGGCCGACCGCUCACCACAGGCAAACCGCUCACCACAGGCAAACAGCUCACCACAGGCCAACCUCUCACAGGCAAAUGCACCUCUGAGUGGUCUGCUCUGUUUGGUUGAGAGAUAACUAAUAACUGCAUGUAAUUUAAAGGGAUAGCCCUAUCUCUUUCAGGUGGUGGCGAUCUAGUUGAUUAGUUGUGUGUGUUGAAACCAUGAUCUUACGGUCAUAUCCCGUUGAGUAUUGUUGGUCUAUUGCCCUUUCAUUUUUUUUUAAUCUUCCUUUUUUUAUGGGAUGUUUAGGGAUCAAACUAAAUGUGUUCUUACAGUUUCAAUGUAUAUAAUAUUACUAUCAUGUCUGUGUUGUGAAACAUAGGUCAAUUCAUGGUGUUUUUAAAAUAACCCAUGAAGGAUAUUUAACCGAUUCUAUUCUGUACCUUUGUACCUUGCAUGCAUGUAAGAAAAUAGAACACCAACUAUUUGAUUGAGAUUUUCAUUGCCGUUUUGUUAAACCAAAGUAUUUAUUCUAAGGAGAAUUUGAUUUAUUUAUGCUGUCUGCUGUCUAAAGAUGGCGCCAACAUAGAGGGCCGCC